CUCUGCUUCCUGUUCAGCGAGCUGAGAAGCCGCUAUCACUCCCUGCACCACCAUCCUCUGUUUCAGCACAGGCCCAGAAUCAACAGAGCCCAGGAAUACCGACAGAAACAUCUGACAACAGAUGCUUACAUAAAUCGUGCCCCGUAAGCCGUUUGUUUAUGUCAGGGAGCAUCAAGUCUGAUUGGUGCAUUAGGCAGUGAGCUUGCAGAGAGCUGUUGGUGCUGGCUGGAGAGGACUGAAGUGAGGAGACUCACCCCAGCAUCGCCCACAGGGAGUGCUUCCUGAGUCUGGAUGCCUGCGUGAGCUUUUGUGCAUCUCACACAUGCAGUAGCCCAUGGGAGCCAGAAGAAGGUGCCAGGUCCCUCGGAACUGGAGUCCUAGGUGAUUGUGAGCCACCACGUGUGCACCGGGAACUGAACCCAGGCCGUCUGCAAGAGCAAUAAACCAUCUUAACCGCGGCGUCAUCUCUCCAGCCCCGACUUUAAGUAAAUUAUUGAUGACCUUCCCAAACAGAAUGUACUAGGUCCAGAUGGGUUGGGUGAAUUCUGGGUGAAUUCUUCCAAGCAGUGAAGGAGGAAAAAUAUAUCAGUUCUCUGUAAUGUCUGUCAGAGGAUGAGCUUAGAAGGAACACUUCUUGAUCCACACUAGGAGCCCAGCAUCACCCUAAGAACAAACGAGGAGAAGGUACUUCAGUAAAUGGAAGCAACAAAAGCCCAUGAACACAGAUCCAGACAGCCUCAACGACAAGCUACUCGCAAGCUGAAUCUAAUGAUGCAUGAAAGGAAAAACAUACCAUAACCAAGUGGGACGGAUGCCAGAUAAGAACGGCCAUCCAACAUUCAAAAAUAAGCUCCUAUAAUCCAGUGUUUGUUAUGAAGGUCUGGGAACACCCCCACCACGCUGUGUAGCAUUCAGAGGAUUCUCCAUCUCUUUAGAACAGCGAUCCUCACCCCACACCUCUUUCAUCUUGAGCACUGCUGGCUCCCAGCCUUCUGCCUUUGGCCUGAGAUUGCUGUGGAGUUGCAACCCAGCUGAUUUCUUCCUGCCUGCUCUCGGGGCCAGACUGACGUGCACGCCGAACACUUCAGUGCUCAAGUCAACUUUGCUGUGUCAAUCUGCCGGAGCCUAGUCCCAGAUGAGGACUCAAGUAGCUCAGGCUGGCCUUGAACUCCCUAUGGAGUUAAGGAUGACCUUGAAUUCCUUCGGCCUUCCUCCACCUACCUCCUAAGUUGCUGGGAUCACAGGCAUGUGCUACUAUACCCAACAAUUAUGAAUAAAAUGUUUUUUUAUUGCUUGUAA